rnacentral:lncRNA from 1 species
UUUUUUUUUUUGCUACUGGGGAUUGAAUCCAGGGGCAUUUUACCACUUUACCUCUGAGCUACAUCCUCAGCCCUUUUUUCCCAUUUUGAGACAGGGUCUUGCUAAGUUGCUGAGGCUGGCCUCAAACUUGACGAUUCUCCUGCCUCAGCCUCCCAAGUCACUGGGAUUACAGGCAUGCACUGCACUCCACUGAAUUUCUUAAAUGUAGUUUAUAUCUAAUCCAGUGGUUCUCAAGCUGUGGUGUUCAUCAGAAGAGGACUUCUCAAAACACAGAUUGCUGAUGGUAUAGAUCUGGAAUAGGGCCCAAGAGUUCUGCAUUCCUUAUAAAUUGCCAGUUGGCAAUGCUGCAGGACCACAUUUUGAAAAUCACUAGCAUACUCUGAUGCACUCUUUUAGCAUUAUCAUUUCCUAAGCAUCAUAGGCCCUGAUCUUUACUGCACAGAAGUCUAAUUAGGUCACAGGGUCACUCAGACAGAACCAGAUGUGAGCCCAGCUCUCUUAUAGCUUGGCCCCAUGUUCUUUCCACAAAAGGAGAUGCUAUUCUGUGCCUUUCCCCAGGGAGUGAGGACUGUUAAAAGUUUAAGGAUCUUUCCUGAAUUUGUGAAAUGUGUUUAGGCAAGGGAGAGGGCAAAAUCCUAUGGCUCACCUUGGCUUUUUAUUAUGGUCACAGUCUUGUUUGAAUACAGGAAGUAUAAUUAGUCUCUGCUACUUUUGCUAGUUUUUGUGUGGUAUUUGGAAACAUUGGUCUGAAUCUUAUUACAAAUAAAUUACCUGGAGUUAUGCUUCGGGUGGAAUGCUAACAGCAAUGAUUAUGAUGUUCGUCAAUUUUACAUAUCCAAAUUAAUAUAAUGGUAUAGACACUGAAAUGGAUAAUACAAUAAAUGUACUAAUGGAAUUGUUUUUGUGCAUGAGCCAGAAAUAAAUGACAGUAAUGAAAAAAUAAA